rnacentral:rRNA from 1 species
GACCUCGGAUUAGAUAAGAAUACCCGCUGAACUUAA